GUGGGGAAUUUUGCGCAAUGGGGGAAACCCUGACGCAGCAACGCCGCGUGAGUGAUGAAGGCCUUCGGGUCGUAAAGCUCUGUCAGAGGGGAAGAAGUGUGAGGUGGCUAAUAUCCAUUUCACUUGACGGUACCUUCAAAGGAAGCACCGGCUAACUCCGUGCCAGCAGCCGCGGUAAUACGGAGGGUGCGAGCGUUGUUCGGAAUUAUUGGGCGUAAAGCGCGUGUAGGCGGUUUUUUAAGUCUGAUGUGAAAGCCCUGGGCUCAACCCGGGAAGUGCAUUGGAAACUGGGAGACUUGAAUACGGGAGAGGGCAGUGGAAUUCCUGGUGUAGGAGUGAAAUCCGUAGAUAUCAGGAGGAACACCGGUGGCGAAGGCGGCUGCCUGGACCGAUAUUGACGCUGAGACGCGAAAGCGUGGGGAGCAAACAGGAUUAGAAACCCGGGUAGUCC
rnacentral:rRNA from 1 species